rnacentral:rRNA from 1 species
UACGAAGGGGGCUAGCGUUGCCCGGAAUCACUGGGCGUAAAGCGCACGUAGGCGGCUUUCUAAGUCAGGGGUGAAAUCCUGGAGCUCAACUCCAGAACUGCCUUUGAUACUGGAGAGCUUGAGUCCGGGAGAGGUGAGUGGAACUCCGAGUGUAGAGGUGAAAUUCGUAGAUAUUCGGAAGAACACCAGUGGCGAAGGCGGCUCACUGGCCCGGUACUGACGCUGAGACGCGAAAGCGUGGGGAGCGAACAGG